rnacentral:lncRNA from 1 species
UAUUUUAUUGCGUAUGAUUUUCACUAUCAGUAAAUAUAAAGAGAAAAGUGUCUACUAGUAUCAUGUACACGAAAAAGCAUCUGAAGAAAGAAAGCAUUUGAGGUUUGACAGUACUGUUUGUAAGCGUAAUGUUGCAUUUCAUACCGCACUUAAAAGUCCAUGUAGUUACUGCUGCUUUGACCCUGGAUGUGGGAAAAGUGCUUAAGUGCUGAGCCCUGGGAUGGUAUGGAGUGAACUGUAAAAACAAGCAUGCAAUCACAUCAAUGCAGACUUAUUUCCUUAAAAUGUCAUACUGUAUAUGAUUUAUUAUGUUAACACUCAACCACAUCAUAUUAUUUAUGUUCUGUAUAUUCUGAAAAAGUGCUGCUUGACUGACAUCGUCCUUUUUCUUUUGUAAGAAAUCAACAAGAUAAAUGCGAUAUCGACCAAGCAGAAAGAUAGAACACAGCGUGACAAAUACAACUACAGCCACUAUUCCUCCUAUGAGAGCAUGGUCAGGGCCAUUCUGGCCAGCCAAAGCAUUAGGAUCU